rnacentral:rRNA from 1 species
GCUCGAGUGGCGAACGGGUGAGUAACACGUGAGUAACCUGCCCUUGACUUUGGGAUAACUUCAGGAAACUGGGGCUAAUACCGGAUAGGAGCUCCUGCUGCAUGGUGGGGGUUGGAAAGUUUCGGCGGUUGGGGAUGGACUCGCGGCUUAUCAGCUUGUUGGUGGGGUAGUGGCUUACCAAGGCUUUGACGGGUAGCCGGCCUGAGAGGGUGACCGGCCACAUUGGGACUGAGAUACGGCCCAGACUCCUACGGGAGGCAGCAGUGGGGAAUAUUGCACAAUGGGCGGAAGCCUGAUGCAGCAACGCCGCGUGCGGGAUGACGGCCUUCGGGUUGUAAACCGCUUUCGCCUGUGACGAAGCGUGAGUGACGGUAUGGGUAAAGAAGCACCGGCUAACUACGUGCCAGCAGCCGCGGUGAUACGUAGGGUGCGAGCGUUGUCCGGAUUUAUUGGGCGUAAAGGGCUCGUAGGUGGUUGAUCGCGUCGGAAGUGUAAUCUUGGGGCUUAACCCUGAGCGUGCUUUCGAUACGGGUUGACUUGAGGAAGGUAGGGGAGAAUGGAAUUCCUGGUGGAGCGGUGGAAUGCGCAGAUAUCACGAGGAACACCAGUGGCGAAGGCGGUUCUCUGGGCCUUUCCUGACGCUGAGGAGCGAAAGCGUGGGGGAGCGAACAGGCUUAGAUACCCUGGUAGUCCACGCUGUAAACGGUGGGUACUAGGUGUGGGGUCCAUUCCACGGGUUCCGUGCCGUAGCUAACGCUUUAAGUACCCCGCCUGGGGAGUACGGCCGCAAGGCUAAAACUCAAAGGAAUUGACGGGGCCCCGCACAAGCGGCGGAGCAUGCGGAUUAAUUCGAUGCAACGCGUAGAACCUUACCUGGGUUUGACAUGGAUCGGGAGUGCUCAGAGAUGGGUGUGCCUCUUUUGGGGUCGGUUCACAGGUGGUGCAUGGCUGUCGUCAGCUCGUGUCGUGAGAUGUUGGGUUAAGUCCCGCAACGAGCGCAACCCUUGUUCACUGUUGCCAGCACGUUAUGGUGGGGACUCAGUGGAGACCGCCGGGGUCAACUCGGAGGAAGGUGGGGAUGACGUCAAGUCAUCAUGCCCCUUAUGUCCAGGGCUUCACGCAUGCUACAAUGGCUGGUACAGAGAGUGGCGAGCCUGUGAGGGUGAGCGAAUCUCGGAAAGCCGGUCUCAGUUCGGAUUGGGGUCUGCAACUCGACCU